rnacentral:rRNA from 1 species
AUGGAGGGGGUGGAGGAGGCCAACCGGGCGGCCGUGGUGAGCUGCAAGAGGCUGGUCGCCCGCCUCUCGCUGUCCGCCGGCGACCCGUUCCGGCUCGCCGCCGUCGCGGCCGAGACCGAGGAGGCCGUGUCCCGGUUCAGCAAGGUGGUUAACAUCCUCGGCAACAGGGUUGGCCAUGCGAGGGCGAGGGUCGGCCGGAGGAGCUCGCCGGCGGGCGACCCGAUUGCGAGGUGCCUCCUCGAGUACCACCCUCCCCCGCCGGUGCCGUAUUGCCCACCUGCCAGUGCCCCCCAACUCCAUGGGAGUAGCAGUAGCACUCCUGCGCCGCCGCCGACGCCGCUGAAGCAGAUGCCGGUGCCGGUGGCGGCGGAGGCGGCUCCUUGUGCCGCCGGCAACGGCAAGGUCGUUGCACCGGCGGCCAAGGGUGCUGCGGACAGGGACAUGUUCUUCCAGACGCCGCUCCUGGAUUUGAGUGCGUGCAGCAGCGUUACUCCCGCCUCCAUUGCCGCCGCGCAGAUCAACGGCUCGAGAGUUUCCGCAGCUCCGGCGGCCAAGGGUGCAGACAGAGACAUGUUCUUCCAGACGCCGCUCCUGGAUUUGAGCGGGUGUAGCGUUACUCCCGCCUCCAUUGCCGCCGUGCAGAUCAACGGCUCGAGAGUUUCGGCAGCUCCGGCGGCCAAUCCUCCUCCUCCCCCUCCCCCUCCCCCUCCUCCUCAAAUCCAAUUCCACCAUCCGAUUCAGCAGCAGCAGCAGCAGCAGCAGCAGAAGAGGAUGCUCGAGCAGCAGCAGAAGCCGGCCAGCAGCGACAACAAGAGGUUCCACUUCGAGCCGAAGCCGGCGAGCGAGAAGCCGUUCCACAUCGAGAUCCCGGCGGCGAGGAGCGGCAAGGAGCCGGAGGUGAUCACCUUCAGCUUCGACAACUCGGUGUGCACCUCGUCGGCGGCCACCUCCUUCUUCACCAACAUGAGCAGCCAGCUGAUCAGCAUGUCGGAGACCUCCGCCUGCGCGCCGGCGUCCAGGAAGGCGGCGCACAAAGCCGACGACGACGGCAAAUGCCACUGCCCCAAGAAAAAGAAGCCGAGGGAGAAGAGGGUGGUGAGGAUGCCGGCGGUGAGCGACAAGGUGGCCGAUAUACCUUCCGACAGCUACUCGUGGAGGAAGUACGGGCAGAAACCCAUCAAAGGCUCUCCACACCCAAGGGGAUACUACCGGUGCAGCAGCAUCAAGGACUGCCCGGCGAGGAAGCACGUGGAGCGGUGUCGCGGCGACGCCGGGAUGCUCAUCGUCACCUACGAGAACGACCACAACCACGCGCAGCCGCUCGACCUCGCCACGCUCACCGCCAACUCCGAAGCCUGCCGAGACCGCCGGUACCAGAAGAACUCUGAAUUUUUAUGCCAUGGAUGGAACAUGCCAUUCAGCCUGACCAAAUCUGAAUGCAAGUGA